rnacentral:rRNA from 1 species
GACGAACGCUGGCGGCGUGCUUAACGCAUGCAAGUCGAACGGAAAGGCCCCUUUGGGGGUACUCGAGUGGCGCACGGGUGAGUAACACGUGAGUAACCUGCCCUUGACUUCGGGAUAACUUCAGGAAACUGGGGCUAAUACCGGAUAGGAAUCCUUGCUGCAUGGUGGGGGUUGGAAAGCUUCGGCGGUUUUGGAUGGACUCGCGGCUUAUCAGCUUGUUGGUGGGGUAGUGGCUUACCAAGGCUUUGACGGGUAGCCGGCCUGAGAGGGCGACCGGCCACAUUGGGACUGAGAUACGGCCCAGACUCCUACGGGAGGCAGCAGUGGGGAAUAUUGCACAAUGGGCGGAAGCCUGAUGCAGCAACGCCGCGUGCGGGAUGACGGCCUUCGGGUUGUAAACCGCUUUCAGCAGGGGCGAAGCUUGUGGUGACGGUACCUGCAGAAGAAGCACCGGCUAACUACGUG